rnacentral:rRNA from 1 species
AUUGAACGCUGGCGGCAGGCCUAACACAUGCAAGUCGAACGGGUGGCGGACGGGUGAGUAAUGUCUGGGCAACUGCCUGAUGGAGGGGGAUAACUACUGGAAACGGUAGCUAAUUCCGCACACCAUCAGAUGUGCCCAGAUGGGAUUAGCUAGUUGGUGGGGUAACGGCUCACCAAGGUGACGAUCCCUAGCUGGUCUGAGAGGAUGACCAGCCACACUGGAACUGAGACACGGUCCAGACUCCUACGGGAGGCAGCAGUGGGGAAUAUUGCACAAUGGGCGCAAGCCUGAUGCAGCCAUGCCGCGUGUGUGAAGAAGGCCUUCGGAUUGUAAAGCACUUUAAGCGGGGAGGCGUUACCCGCAGAAUAAGCACCGGCUAACUCCGUGCCAGCCGCCGCGGUAAUAC